ACCCUUAUUCUUUGUUGCCAGCGAUUUGGUCGGGAACUCAAAGGAGACUGCCGUUGAUAAAGCGGAGGAAGGUGGGGACGACGUCAAGUCAUCAUGGCCCUUACGACCAGGGCUACACACGUGCUACAAUGGCGUAUACAAAGGGAAGCGAAGGUGCGAGCUGGAGCGGAUCUCAUAAAGUACGUCUAAGUUCGGAUUGGAGUCUGCAACUCGACUCCAUGAAGUCGGAAUCGCUAGUAAUCGUAGAUCAGAAUGCUACGGUGAAUACGUUCCCGGGCCUUGUACACACCGCCCGUCACACCAUGGGAGUGGGUUGCACCAGAAGUAGAUAGCUUAACCGCGAGGGGGGCGUUUACCACGGUGUGAUUCAUGACUGGGGUGAAGUCGUAACAAGGUAACCA
rnacentral:rRNA from 1 species